rnacentral:lncRNA from 1 species
AUGCCGGGCUUUGAUGCCCUCAGAUGCGGGAGGGCGGGUCUCCACAGUCCCAGGGGUUGGUCCCUCAUCCCCUGGAGGGAAAGCGCUUGGGAGAAACCCUUUGUUUGCACAGGCACCAGCAGACUCGUGGAACAGGCCUCCGAGUCCUCUGCAUCUGGGUCCGGGGCCACCGCAGGCCGCUCCUUGCCGUGGAGGAGGACCAGCAGAGAGCCGGACCCCUGGCACUCCAACACCCGAGGAGGAGCCCGGAGCCCUGGUGCAGGCGCCGCCCGCGGUGGAGAGACUGGAAACGCGCUUCCGGGAAGCUCCGCACCCAGGCUGGGAAGAUCUGACGGGGUGACAGAAGAAGAGAGGCCACAUACCUGCGUCACCUGGGAAGGAGGCCAGCCGGCUUAAAAGCAGUGCUGAGAGAGCUGGAAGGAGGGUGGACGCUCCCAGAAGGUGAAUGCUGGCAGGUAAGAUUUCAGAGGCAGUGCUGAGUCCAGACUAGUUGGGGGGGGGGGGGGGGCGGCAGGGGACCAGGGGCAUGGGUGGUUUAGCUAAGCUGGCAGUGAAAGUCACCGGAGUCAGGACAUCGGAGGCUGCUGGGUAAGUGGCUUGCAUGAAUAUUCAAGCAACCAGAUUGCUAACAGAGGUUGGGGUCAAAGGAACGACUUCGCCAAGAUUUUCGACAAAUAACGGCCGGCACGUAUAAGGUGCCUACUAUGCGCCGUGUGCUCCUCCAAGUGCUUUCCAUAUGUCCUGUCGUUUUUAUGUUAACAACAACCCUACACAGCAUGCUAUUCCUAUUGCCCCUGUUUUGUGUUUAUUAUCCCCAGUGUAUCAUUGAGACAAGAAAGGUAACAACCAGAUCAAACCGCUAGCCAGUGGAGCUGACCCGGGAACCCGAGCUGCCUGGCUUGUUUGAAGGACAAGAAGAUGCCAGACACAAGAGGAGGUGAUGUCGAUGGCGAGCACGGAAAAGAAAGGAAGGCAGAACCAGAUGGUGAAGGGCUUUGUAUUUCGUGCCCUUCUGUACUCGCCCUCCAGACAGCUGGCGGACUUGGCGGGAGGUCAGACGGGCGGCCCGGCAGGAUCACAUAUUAAUUCAGACUGGCUGCGGGGUCGGGCGGGAACGGCCUGAAGGCCAUCUUGCCAGAUGGGGUCCGACAGCACUUAGAACUCUGUUUGGGAAGGAGAAUAGGAGCGUGUGGCAAUGGUGGAAAGACAAGCAGGUGACAGGGCACAUCCUAAAGGAACAAGCAGAGUAAGGCCGCACCCCCCUGGGGAAGCUGGGAGCCACAGCCCACCCCAGGGGGACAGCUGAAGCUCCCCGAGCCCGAAGGGGAGAGACCUCACGGCUGGAAAUGGCUUGCGAUGAAUAAUGCCGGUCUGCAUCCCCACCGUGUGAGUCGGA